rnacentral:rRNA from 1 species
UAAUACGUAGGGGGCAAGCGUUGUCCGGAAUCAUUGGGCGUAAAGCGCGUGUAGGCGGCUCGAUAAGUCUGCUGUGAAAGUCCAGGGCUCAACCCUGGGAUGCCGGUGGAUACUGUCGGGCUCGAGUCCGGAAGAGGCGAGUGGAAUUCCUGGUGUAGCGGUGAAAUGCGCAGAUAUCAGGAGGAACACCAAUGGCGAAGGCAGCUCGCUGGGACGUGACUGACGCUGAGACGCGAAAGCGUGGGGAGCAAACAGGAUUAGAUACCCUGGUAGUCCACGCCGUAAACGAUGGGCACUAGGUGUGGGGGGUGUCGACUCCCUCCGUGCCGAAGCUAACGCAUUAAGUGCCCCGCCUGGGGAGUACGGCCGCAAGGCUA